rnacentral:rRNA from 1 species
UACGUAGGGGGCUAGCGUUGUCCGGAAUCACUGGGCUUAAAGGGCGCGUAGGCGGGUCGGCCAGUCUGUGGUGAAAUCCCCCGGCUCAACCGGGGAAUUGCCGCGGAUACUGCCGGUCUCGAGGAGGGUAGGGGCAUCUGGAACGAGCGGUGGAGCGGUGAAAUGCGUUGAUAUCGCUCGGAACUCCGGUGGCGAAGGCGAGAUGCUGGACCCUUUCUGACGCUGAGGCGCGAAAGCCAGGGGAGCAAACGGG